rnacentral:rRNA from 1 species
UUGCACGCUGGCGGCAGGCCUAACACAUGCAAGUCGAGCGGAUGAAGGGAGCUUGCUCCUGGAUUCAGCGGCGGACGGGUGAGUAAUGCCUAGGAAUCUGCCUGGUAGUGGGGGAUAACGUCCGGAAACGGGCGCUAAUACCGCAUACGUCCUGAGGGAGAAAGUGGGGGAUCUUCGGACCUCACGCUAUCUGAUGAGCCUAGGUCGGAUUAGCUAGUUGGUGGGGUAAAGGCCUACCAAGGCGACGAUCCGUAACUGGUCUGAGAGGAUGAUCAGUCACACUGGAACUGAGACACGGUCCAGACUCCUACGGGAGGCAGCAGUGGGGAAUAUUGGACAAUGGGCGAAAGCCUGAUCCAGCCAUGCCGCGUGUGUGAAGAAGGUCUUCGGAUUGUAAAGCACUUUAAGUUGGGAGGAAGGGCAGUAAGUUAAUACCUUGCUGUUUUGACGUUACCAACAGAAUAAGCACCGGCUAACUUCGUG